UGGCGACGGGUGAGUAAUGUCUGGGAAACUGCCUGAUGGAGGGGGAUAACUACUGGAAACGGUAGCUAAUACCGCAUAACGUCGCAAGACCAAAGAGGGGGACCUUAGGGCCUCUUGCCAUCGGAUGUGCCCAGAUGGGAUUAGCUAGUAGGUGGGGUAACGGCUCACCUAGGCGACGAUCCCUAGCUGGUCUGAGAGGAUGACCAGCCACACUGGAACUGGGACACGGUCCAG
rnacentral:rRNA from 1 species